rnacentral:lncRNA from 1 species
CAGUGGCUUUUAGUAGUAUUUAAUCAUGUUAAAUACGGUUCUGUAAACGAUUGACCAGUUAUAUUCGCGAGUAACUUUCUCAUGUGCAAAUUUUCUGCGUACCUCCUUCUUAAACGCGUUUUGCCCUCAAUUUUAGUGGCACAUGUGGUAGCAAGCUACCAGGGCUCGGAGGGAGGGUUCUUCCAUUGAUUGGCCGUGAAUGUGCCGUGGGCUUGGGGCCUUCACUGUGGUUAAAAGACCCCACACCGGAGUCGCAGCCCUCGACCAGCCAGUUGGACCUCCCAGUAGUCCCACUGCAGCAGUCGAUUUCCGGCACUGCCUAAGGCUUGUACUUCGCAGGUAA